UUGGGACGAAUGGGUAGGUGGGGAUUGCCUGUUGAAAAAUACUGAAGAUAAUAUCAUGAAGCAGCAAGCUCUUGACAAGAAACAAGGUGUGGACAAGAAUACAAAAUCAGGACGCUCAGCUCAAACAAAGCCGAAAAGUUCUUCUGAUGCAAAAGCAGAGAAAGAAGACCACAAGAACAAUGUGACAAAGGGGAAGAAGCGGAAGAAUGACUUAGGCCCUGAG